AAUACAACUGCUGCAGUGCAAACACAAUCUUAUUGAAACACAGAAUAGUAAAUAUGAGUAUACUUGGACACUACAAUGUAAAUAUCUGAAGAAAACUCUUUAUUAGGCUAGUUAGGUACUGUUGCAUUCCCGCACAGGCACAAAUAAAGACAGCCCCUUUCUGUGGGGAGGACCCUAUAGCCUCACAAAUCCUGACCAGGAGGUGCUGCUGCAGGUGAUCCUGUGAUGGCGUCUUUCUUUCCACCAAAACAGUGAAUGGAAGCAGACAGCCAGAUCCUGAGAAGGUUGGUGUCUGACAUUGCUGACGUGGCUUCUGCAGCUGCACAAGUGCACUGAAACAUUCACCAGAAUGAAAGAAAAUCCUGUUAUUCCCUGUGAUGUCUGAUAUUCCUGCUUCCAAACCACAAGUGUCAUGGUGUGUCCAUGAAUUCAGAGGGAAGGAGGCGGAGUUCAUGUGGUGUAAUAAAAGUAAGCUUGGAGGAAAAUGUGACAGAUGUGGAGGCCUGUGCCAGCGAGAAAAGCGAGAGUUGGACUGUCAGACAUGUCGACUCCGGCGUAGUGAUGGAUGGAGAGUGAGGUAAGACAGAUGACAUCGUCUGUCUGAGGCUGUGUUGUCAUAGUGGAGGAUUGCCGCUUGUCUUAACCUCUCAAUAUCAGAGAGCAAACUGAAGUUUGUUUACACUGCUCCAGUGGAGUGAUUUAGAAUGAGGGGCGAGGGAGAGUGGGUGUAGAAGGUAUGCUCGCUGGAGGGUCAGAUCAGGUUUCUAAACAUUCCCUUUGAAAUCGAAUAGCAACCAUCCCAGGCGUUUUAAACCCAACCAGUCCCACUUGGUUGCAAGGUGGAGAGGAGUCCAAACACAAAUACAAACAGAGGAAAUUAAAUAUCAGUAUCAGUAUCGGCCUUUAAACACCCAUAUCAGUCAAUCCAGCCUGGACCGUGCCAAACUAAAAAAGUGGGUAAAUUAUUGCUCUAGUUUGGUAUGGAGCCAUCACAAAGCAAUAAAAAGGCCAAAUGCAAGAGUUACAAGAAGCACUAAUGUGUACUUCUGAGAAUAGAGAACCUUUUUUGACAAUAUUUUUCUUUCUUUUCUACAAUUAAUUUAUUUAUAAAAAUGAUUGUCUGCCUUGAAAUGUAAGUAACAUCUUUUCUGCAAAUGAAAAGGUCAGUAAAAUAAGCUCC